rnacentral:lncRNA from 1 species
UCAAACUUGUUUGUUCUGAGUGCUCAAAUAGAGUCCUUUCAGAAAGAGGAUGAUGGAGCACUCAUGUUUCUCUCUGAAAUUCAUAAAGAAUACCUUCCAUUCCAUCUUCUGCAUUUUUCUUCUCAUGGUUCCUUUGAUCCUUGUUGCAGGGAGUGUUCCUGAUUUUGAAAGUUAAUGUCCAGUUGUGCAUGUGUGGGAAGAGUGGAAUGUUUCAUUCACUGCCAAGGAGGGAAAUAUGAAGAAUACUUGGGCAACAAGAAGGCCACGCUCCAUUUGAGUGAAGUGUGUUGUUGUCAUCUACUGGGGAAAACAUCUCAGAACUGUAUUUCUAAGAAGAAAAAAGAAAAAGAAAGAAACAAAAAAAACACCAAAAAACCACCAUGUAUUUUAGUGUAGAUAUUUUCUUAGCAGUAUUCUGCAGCUGUCAUUGUUGAGCUACAGAAGAAAACAAAAUAUUUAUUGCAAAGAUAUUAGAAGAUAAAUGAGUUAUAAGACCUGGAUAGACCACAGCCACAGAAGCAGGCUGUGUGGCUCAGUAAACUAUCCUUGCUCCUUUCCCAUACUGAUGACAUGCACCAUUCCUUUGCCUCCCAACUCAGUCUUUUUUAUUUUGGCUCCCCUUCUGGAACAGCACCUAGAGGGGCUGUGUGGUCUGUGGCCUUAAGAAUGCUCAAAACUCAUCUGGACCCCUGCCUGAACAACCUGCUCUAACUGAACAGAUUGAGGAGUGUAGUGGGACUAGGUGAUCCAAAGAGUUCCCUUCAAACCUAAACUGUCCUGUGAACACAAGUGCAAGCAAUAAUAAGCAUGAGCUUUGGGAGAGAAUCUUUGGGUUAAAAUGACAUAGAGGUUUAUGGCAGAAUAGGUCAGAACGUUUCUUUGAACAACCAGUUUUAUCUCUUUAUAGUCUUUAUACAGUCAAUUUAGUAGCCAGUCAUUUCUUUUAACCUUCAUCCCUUAUAUCUUUUCUGCAUUCUGAUUUUUGUGCCAGGAUGAAAAAACACUACUAUGAAAAAACAGUGCUAGAAUGGAACACCUGCAGUUUAAGAAGAAAAAAAAAAAGUGAAUGGGGGAAAGGGGAAGAAGGUCUGGCACAUCUGUUCCCGAGAGCUUUUGCUCACCUUGAGCAGAGCUAAUAAUAAAUAUGACAGGCGCAUUAAAGUGUUGUUCA